CACGGGUGCGUAACGCGUGGGAAUCUGCCCCUGGGUUCGGAAUAACAGUUAGAAAUGACUGCUAAUACCGAAUGAUGACGUAAGUCCAAAGAUUUAUCGCCCAGGGAUGAGCCCGCGUAGGAUUAGCUAGUUGGUGGGGUAAAGGCCUACCAAGGCGACGAUCCUUAGCUGGUCUGAGAGGAUGAUCAGCCACACUGGGACUGAGACACGGCCCAGACUCCUACGGGAGGCAGCAGUGGGGAAUAUUGGACAAUGGGCGAAAGCCUGAUCCAGCAAUGCCGCGUGAGUGAUGAAGGCCUUAGGGUUGUAAAGCUCUUUUACCCGGGAUGAUAAUGACAGUACCGGGAGAAUAAGCUCCGGCUAACUCCGUGCCAGCAGCCGCGGUAAU
rnacentral:rRNA from 1 species